rnacentral:rRNA from 1 species
CAGUCGCCACGGUAAUACGUAGGGUGCAAGCGUUAAUCGGAAUUACUGGGCGUAAAGCGUACGCAGGCGGUUAUAUAAGUCAGAUGUGAAAUCCCCGGGCUCAACCUGGGAACUGCAUUUGAGACUGUAUGGCUAGAGUGUGUCAGAGGGGGGUAGAAUUCCACGUGUAGCAGUGAAAUGCGUAGAUAUGUGGAGGAAUACCGAUAGCGAAGGCAGCCCCCUGGGAUAACACUGACGCUCAUGCACGAAAGCGUGGGGAGCAAACAGGAUUAGAGACCCCUGUAGUCCCUGUCUCUUAUAC